AGAUUGAACGCUGGCGGCGUGCUUAACACAUGCAAGUCGAGCGGUAACGCGGGGCAACCUGGCGACGAGCGGCGAACGGGUGAGUAAUGCUUUGGAAUCUACCUUUUAGUGGGGAAUAACCUGGGGAAACUCAGGCUAAUACCGCAUACGUCCUACGGGAGAAAGCGGGGGAUCGCAAGACCUCGCGCUAUUAGAUGAGCCAAAGUCGGAUUAGCUAGUUGGUGGGGUAAAGGCCUACCAAGGCGACGAUCCGUAGCUGGUCUGAGAGGACGACCAGCCACACUGGAACUGAGACACGGUCCAGACUCCUACGGGAGGCAGCAGUGGGGAAUAUUGGACAAUGGGGGCAACCCUGAUCCAGCGACGCCGCGUGUGUGAAGAAGGCCUGCGGGUUGUAAAGCACUUUUAGUGGGGAUGAAAAGUUCAAGGCGAAUACCCUUGGAUCUUGACCUAACCCAAAGAAAAAGCACCGGCUAACUCUGUGCCAGCAGCCGCGGUAAUACAGAGGGUGCAAGCGUUAAUCGGAAUUACUGGGCGUAAAGCGUGCGUAGGUGGUCGUUUAAGUCGGAUGUGAAAUCCCCGGGCUCAACCUGGGAAUUGCAUUCGAUACUGGAUGGCUAGAGUUCGGCAGAGGGAAGUGGAAUUUCCGGUGUAGCGGUGAAAUGCGUAGAUAUCGGAAGGAACAUCAGUGGCNAAAGCGACUUCCUGGNCCAGACUGACGCUNAAGUACNAAAGCGUGGGGAGCAAACAGGAUUAGAUACCCNGGUAGUCC
rnacentral:rRNA from 1 species